rnacentral:rRNA from 1 species
CUCUUAUGAAGUUAGCGGCGGACGGGUGAGUAACACGUGGGUAACCUGCCCAUAAGACUGGGAUAACUCCGGGAAACCGGGGCUAAUACCGGAUAACAUUUUGAACCGCAUGGUUCGAAAUUGAAAGGCGGCUUCGGCUGUCACUUAUGGAUGGACCCGCGUCGCAUUAGCUAGUUGGUGAGGUAACGGCUCACCAAGGCAACGAUGCGUAGCCGACCUGAGAGGGUGAUCGGCCACACUGGGACUGAGACACGGCCCAGACUCCUACGGGAGGCAGCAGUAGGGAAUCUUCCGCAAUGGACGAAAGUCUGACGGAGCAACGCCGCGUGAGUGAUGAAGGCUUUCGGGUCGUAAAACUCUGUUGUUAGGGAAGAACAAGUGCUAGUUGAAUAAGCUGGCACCUUGACGGUACCUAACCAGAAAGCCACGGCUAACUACGUGCCAGCAGCCGCGGUAAUACGUAGGUGGCAAGCGUUAUCCGGAAUUAUUGGGCGUAAAGCGCGCGCAGGUGGUUUCUUAAGUCUGAUGUGAAAGCCCACGGCUCAACCGUGGAGGGUCAUUGGAAACUGGGAGACUUGAGUGCAGAAGAGGAAAGUGGAAUUCCAUGUGUAGCGGUGAAAUGCGUAGAGAUAUGGAGGAACACCAGUGGCG